GAAAUGUUAGUAAAAUAUUACAUUACCUUGUCAAGGUAAAAUUAUAGAUGGAAACUCUAUACAUUUCU
rnacentral:tRNA from 1 species